rnacentral:rRNA from 1 species
AUGUUGUCAAGUGUCUUUCCAUCUCGUGAAGUUCAUGUUCUUUUCCUUCCAUUUUCAGCCGGAGUGCUGCCUAAAUCCUUUCAGUCUUAUUCGUUUCGUAUUUCGUUCUAA